UACGUAGGGUGCGAGCGUUGUCCGGAAUUAUUGGGCGUAAAGGGCUCGUAGGCGGUUUGUCGCGUCGGGAGUGAAAUCCACUGGCUUAACUGGUGGCUUGCUUUCGAUACGGGCAGGCUUGAGUUCGGUAGGGGAGACUGGAAUUCCUGGUGUAGCGGUGAAAUGCGCAGAUAUCAGGAGGAACACCGGUGGCGAAGGCGGGUCUCUGGGCCGAUACUGACGCUGAGGAGCGAAAGCGUGGGGAGCGAACAGG
rnacentral:rRNA from 1 species